UGGCAGAGCACUUAGGGUUCCGUUGUCGCCCGCGACAAGCCUGGUCCAAGAAGAGCUACCGCGCCGGCAAAUUCCGGGGCGGCACACGGCGGGGCAAAAUCCCGGGAGGC
rnacentral:sRNA from 2 species